rnacentral:rRNA from 1 species
CCUACGGGAGGCAGCAGUGGGGAAUUUUGGACAAUGGGCGCAAGCCUGAUCCAGCAAUGCCGCGUGCAGGAUGAAGGCCUUCGGGUUGUAAACUGCUUUUGUACGGAGCGAAACGGUCUGCCCUAAUACGGUGGGCUAAUGACGGUACCGUAAGAAUAAGCACCGGCUAACUACGUGCCAGCAGCCGCGGUAAUACGUAGGGUGCGAGCGUUAAUCGGAAUUACUGGGCGUAAAGCGUGCGCAGGCGGUGAUGUAAGACAGAUGUGAAAUCCCCGGGCUCAACCUGGGACCUGCAUUUGUGACUGCAUCGCUAGAGUACGGUAGAGGGGGGAUGGAAUUCCGCGUGUAGCAGUGAAAUGCGUAGAUAUGCGGAGGAACACCGAUGGCGAAGGCAAUCCCCUGGACCUGUACUGACGCUCAUGCACGAAAGCGUGGGGAGCAAACAGGAUUAGAUACCCUGGUAGUCCACGCCCUAAACGAUGUCAACUGGUUGUUGGGUCUUCACUGACUCAGUAACGAGCUAACGCGUGAAGUUGACCGCCUGGGGAGUACGGCCGCAAGGUUGAAACGUCAAAUGAAUUGACGG